rnacentral:rRNA from 1 species
CCUACGGGAGGCAGCAGUGGGGAAUAUUGCACAAUGGGGGAAACCCUGAUGCAGCGACGCCGCGUGAGUGAAGAAGUAAUUCGUUAUGUAAAGCUCUAUCAGCAGGGAAGAAAAUGACGGUACCUGACUAAGAAGCCCCGGCUAAAUACGUGCCAGCAGCCGCGGGCAUACGUAUGGCGAAAGCGUUAGCCGGAUUUAAUGGGGGGAAAGGGAGCGCAGGCGGCCUGUCAAGUCUGGGGUGAAAACCCGGGGCUCAACCACGGAACUGCAUUGGAAACUGGCGGGCUGGAGGGUCUGAGGGGGCAGCGGAAUUCCUAGUGUAGCGGUGAAAUGCGUAGAUAUUAGGAGGAACAACGGUGGCGAAGGCGGCCUGCUGGACGAUGACUGACGCUGAGGCUCGAAAGCGUGGGGAGCAAACAGGAUUAGAUACCCUUGUAGUC